rnacentral:tRNA from 1 species
GACCCCGUAGCUUAAUGGAUUGAGCAGUCCCGUCCUAAGGGAAAGACUGGUGGUUCGACUCCACUCGGGGUCA